rnacentral:tRNA from 1 species
GGUCAUGUAGCUCAGUGGUAAAGUAUUGGCAUAUAUGUUCAGGAGUCACUGGUUCAAUUCCAGUCAUAACCG